UCACUUUUUUCUUAGUCAAACUUCUUUAAGUUUGAUCAAAUUUAUAGAAAAAUAUAGUAGUAUUUUCAAUACAAAACAAACAUUGUAUCAAAAUAUAUUCAAUGUUAAAUUUAAUGAAACUAAUUUGGUGUUGUGGAUGUUGCUAUUUUUUUCUAUAAACAUGAUCAAACCUUAAAAACUUUGAUUAAGAAAAAAGUCAA
rfam:Oryza glaberrima chromosome 11 Oglab11_0062_7, whole genome shotgun sequence.